CUAACUGCUUCCCCUGCGGCCUGCCGGUGCCGGCCUUUCCACUGUGACACUGUCCACAUUCGCAGUCAGUCACACCGAGCUACAGUAAGCAACCAUAGUUUGACACACCGUACCCCUCGGACUACUCCAGUCGGCGUCCUGUGCAGGAAUCAUUUAUACGGAGGAUACUACACACGAAACACUGGAUACCCCGCCAUGAGUGAUGACUCGAAUGAAGUAAUUUUUUACCACUAUACCUCGAAGAAAUAUAAAGAUGAUAUUCUGGUUUCCGGUGUCAUCAAGCCAAGCACACGUUGUGGUUGCGGAAAAGAUGAUGCUAUGUAUGGAGAUGGUAAGCAGAUCACACGUCGUGGUCGCGGAAAAGAUGAUGCUAUGUAUGGAGAUGGUGUUUACGGCACGAGCUUGGAUCCCAAUAAGUUCUCCAAGGAAGAGCUGUUGAUGAACAAUUACGACUCGCGCACUGGAGUUAGGUCUCACUUGCAAAAGGAAAAAGUAGACGUUGCCUUCAAGCUCUACCUUCCAAAGGAUAGUGUGAAAGAAAUCGAGGCCGUCGGCCGCGAUAUCUUGAUCCAUCACGGAGACAUUAAUCUUGAUAAUGUUCGGUAUGAAGUUAUCCCCGUACCAUCGGGUAACUGAGGAAUGUAUCUUUAUUCUCGAAGAGGUCGUUGAGUAUCUGAUAACGUGCAAGCGUAAGGUCAGGGGUUAUGGAGUUCAUGUGCCUUAGCAAAUGGUUUAAAUUUUUUCAGUUUUUUCUGAAAGUCAUCAAAUUAAUAAUUUGAAUAGUGAAUGAAAGUAAUCAAGAUUUUAAUUUGUCUGCAUCUGUAACCUUAGUCAUUCAAUACAAAGUGUAGUAAUUUGCAAAAUAGUUUUUCCCUUGUAUCUGUAAAACUAAGAAGUACAAAGUUUAGUUUAAUGUUAUAGGUUUAUUUUCUCUUCUAUCUGUAAGACUAAAGUCAUCAUUAUAAAUUGUGGUAAUUUGAAAAUGAAAAUAGUUUUUCCUUGCAUCUGUGAAACUUGACACAAAGUAUGUAGUUUCAUGUCAUUAGAGUUCAUGUUCCCUUGUAUCUGUUAGACUUGAAAGUCAUUCAUUAUAAAGAUUAAUUUGUAAAUUAAUCUAAAUGAAUGAAAGUAAGUUUUUCCCCCUACAACUGUAGAAAUCAGAAGUCACUAGUGUGUUGUAGAUUAUUUUGACAGUUGGUUCCCUAGUAUCUUGAAUGACUUGAAAGUCACUAAUUAUAUAGGUUAAUAUGCACAUGAAAGGAAGUUUUUUUCCUUGUAUCUUUGUGACUGAAGUCACUAAUAAAUUGGAAAUAAAAAUU